GACGAACGUUGGCGGCGUGCUUAACACAUGCAAGUCGAACGGUAAGGCCCUUCGGGGUACACGAGUGGCGAACGGGUGAGUAACACGUGGGUGCUCUGCCCUGCACUUCGGGAUACGCCUGGGAAACUGGGUCUAAUACCGGAUAGGACCACUGCCUGCAUGGGUGGGGGUGGGAAGCUUUGGCGGUGUGGGAUGGGCCCGCGGCCUAUCAGCUUGUUGGUGGGGUGAUGGCCUACCAAGGCGACGACGGGUAGCCGGCCUGCGAGGGUGACCGGCCACACUGGGACUGAGAUACGGCCCAGACUCCUACGGGAGGCAGCAGUGGGGAAUAUUGCACAAUGGGCGCAAGCCUGAUGCAGCGACGCCGCGUGAGGGAUGACGGCCUUCGGGUUGUAAACCUCUUUCAGCACCGACGAAGCGCAAGUGACGGUAGGUGCAGAAGAAGGACCGGCCAGCUACGUGCCAGCCGCCGCCGUAA
rnacentral:rRNA from 1 species